CAGCCAUGUGACUGAUCAGAAUAUCAAAGACUAACAAUUCUAAGUGUUGGCUGUGAUGUGGAAAUUCAGAAACUUACACUCCCGAUGACAAGAAUGGCGCUGGCACACCUGCUUUGGAAAACAGUGGCAUUAUCAGAGUUCCCUGGUGGUACAGUGGAGUUAAGGAUCCGGCAUUGUCACCCAUGUGGCUCAAGUCGCUGCUGUGGUACAGGUUUGAUCGCUGGCCCAGGGACUUCUGCGANGCACAGAUCUAAAAAAAAAAAAAGAAAAAGAAAAGAAAAUGCUUUUUAAAAAACUACCCAAACCCCACAUGUUUCUAAGAUGCGAUAAACAUUUGAUGAUAUAGUAAAUGGACAAAUCCAACUAUUCAACACACUAUGCACACUCAUUAUCAGAAAUAAGCUUUGAUCUUGUUAUCCACCUUUCAUUAAUUCUGGAUUUCAUCAAGACCGAAGCCCAAGUGGCUUUUAACCAGCACCAGAGACCAGAGAUACUUGAGGCUAAUUUGCAUCUCCUUUGGUCUACUCAGACCUUAAUAAAAUGAUGGCACCUUCAUUAUGAUGAAAGAGGAAUUAGAGAUACAAAAUUCCAGGGCCUCAGAAAGAGUAAAGAAAAGAUCUCAACAUAAGAACAAAGAAGAACAAAUGGCCUAGAUUCCACCCCUGCUGACCUGGAGGCCGUGAUUUACCUGAUUUGGGUCUUCACAGUUACAAGUUCCAUAAAUGUAUUUCACAAGCUUGGUAUAUUUAGCUACCCUUUGGAGGUAUGUGAGUUAUACAUAGUAGUAGUCAGCAAUUUUGUUAGGACUUUGCUGAUUUGGUGUUUUGGAGAAGUGUUGAGUUUUAUUUUAGAAAAUCUAUUAGGAAAAAUGUUCAUAUAAGCCAAUUACUUACAUAAAUGAGAUUUCAGAAAGAAUGCUUAAACAGGGUUUCCAAAUAGUCUAAACAGCUUUAGAAAAGUGAAGAAGGUGUAUUCCAGGAACAAAUUAUAAUUAUAAUAGCAUCAACCCCCCCUCCUCCACGAAGCAAUAGGCUAUGAAUUUUAGCAGACUGCUUAUGAUCAUUAGAUAUGAUUAAGAAUCAGCAUGGUGGGUGUUCCCCUUGUGGCUCAGCAGAAGUGAAUCCAACUAGUAUUCUUGAGGCUCCCUGGCCUUGCUCAGUGGGUUAAGGGUCCGGCAUUGCUGUGGCUGUGGUGUAGGCCAGCAGCUUUAGCUCUGAUUCCACCCCUAGUCUGGGAACUCCAUAUGCCGCAAGUGCGGCCCUAAACGGCAAGGGAAAAAAAAAAAAGAAUUAGCAUGGUUUUAUAGGGAAAGUUUUUCUCAUUAACCUCAUUUCCAUUUUUAAGAGAGGUACUAAGUUCAUGGAUAAAGAGAAUGUUACAGACAUGCCACAUCUCAAUUUCCACGUUGCAUGAGUGCUGGUUCAAUGAAGAAAUUAAAUACGUUUUUUAAGAGCUGUGUGGUUAAUGAAACUGUCGUGCCAAACUCAAUGACCUCAGUUCAUCAGCCUGCCCCUUAUAACUCUUGAUUAAUACCUGGGUUGAGAGGAAGAAAAUGUACCUAUCAACUGUACAGGUGACCCAGAACUGGAGGAAGAGUUGACACGUUGCACUGCACACUCACAUGUAGAAGGAUUUAAACGUGUUCCAAAAGGGGAUCGAAACAGUUGAAAACCAGUAGGUUAGAAAAAGUUCUGCAGCACAAGUUCAGGAUUGAGACGAUCUGACUGGAGUAUUUGCCCAGCUAUAAACUCAGGGCAGAAUCUUUCUGCCUCCAUCGCCAUUGCCAAGCAGGCGUGGCAGACUGCACAGUCCCCCACAGCAGAGUGACACCCAGGUACAAGUGGGUACUAAAUGCCAUGAGGACCUAAACAGGGAGACGUGCUAGGCGGGAUUCCCAGGUGGCUCCCAGGACUCUCAAUUCCUGUGUGCAUCCUGCACAGCCCCUUGCCUGUGAGUCUGGGCGGGCCCAGAAAUGGGAUGGACUUCCUUCCGGCAAUUGGGUAAAAGGAGCAAGAGCUUUUGCAGAGACAGUGAAGGUCCCAGACCAGCUGACUUGGAGUUCAUCUAAAGGGGUUAUCCUGGAUGGGGUGUCUUAAUCAGAUGAACCCUCAAAAGGGACCAGACCUUCAUAAGGAAGAGAUUUGAAGUACAAAUGAUUCUCCCGAUGGCUUUGAAAAAGUACGGAGAACAAAUGCAGGAGCGAGAAGCCCAUGUGGCCCAACUCUGGCAUUUUCUCCUCAUAGCCUGCAGGUCCUAUUGCCAUGCAAUGAAAAAAAAAGUCUCUCUUUGCCCAGAAAGGAAGGGCAGUUUAACUUCUGGCAGGCCGUGGUGGAACUAUAACCUUCCCAGGUGCCUGGCGAGCAGAAAGAAGUGGUUCCAUUAUCUUCACCAUCCUUCGGAGACAGGGAGGAGAUGCAGGCUCUGAGGUCUAGACCCACACAUCCUGCCUGCCAGGUGUGUAGACCUGGGAGCUUCUGCAUCCAGAGCUAAGAAGAGGGGCCCAGACUGGACGUGGCUGUGGGAGGCACCCGCAUAUGGGUGGUAAUUGAAUUCGAAGUAAAUUUUUCGUCGCCCAGGAAGAGUGUCAACAGGAAGAACAAAAAUGUGCCAAAGAGUCCUGGAAAACACCUGUUUUUUUUUGGAUUUGUUUUUGUUUUUAAGAUUUCUUUCUUUCUCUUUCUCUCUCUCUCUCUUUCUUUCUUUCUUUCUUUUCUUUCUGUCUUUCUGUCUUUCUUUUCUUUUCUUUUUUUCUUUCUUUCUGGUUAUCCAUUUCUUUUUUUAAUUUUUUGCCAUGACUUGUUGCGGCUUCCUCACCCAUUUAAGCAACAGCCAGCAAAGAGCAGAGCUGACUGAGGCGGAGCUGCCGUCCAGGGGCAGGAAGGAAAUGGGGAGGGAGUGCUGUCCGGAGCAGGGAACAGAGGAGAGAGGAAGGGAGGUCAGUGGCCCUGACCACGGCCGAGAGCCAAGUUCAGUGCACAUCCGAGACGGGCUUACUCAAGGUUGAGAAGGUCUUUGGAAAUCUUGGCCAGGGCGGUUUCGGAGGCGUGGUGGGGCCGGAGCAGAGUCAGGUAUUGGAGGGUAAAUACAAUACAGGGUAUGGGCGAGAAUCAUUCUUUCCAGAGCUUUGUGCCUGGUGGGGAGAGACAGGAGGAGACGGACUGUGAGCAGGGAGCGAGGGCUUGGUUUGAAUCCUGAGGGGAAGGAGUCCAUACAGAUGGAGAGGCUCUGGGUGCAAAACAGAAAUCAUAACGUGUUUUUUCUCUUGCGUAUCUAAAAACUUCCUCCAGCACCUACAGAGUAUGAGGCCCCCGGCUGCGUGGUGACUGUGGAGGGCCAGGGCUGGAGAAAGGCUGCAUGUCGAGUUUAAUGAUUUUUCCAGCCUAUUCUUAGAAACGUCUUCAAAGCUGUGCUAACAGGUUGGCUCUGGCUGAUAAGGUGCCAUCGCCCCUUGCCUCUGAUGUUAUGUGGUGCUCAGUCUUCUAGACAUUGUUCCACUAAUUGGCUUCCCGGAGCUGCUUGCUCGGCUGUGCCAAGGGCGAUUAACAGACUGUGCUGAUGCAGCUCCCAGCCCUCGCGAGGGGCAGCACGUGAGCCCGUCCUUGGGAAGCUGGAGGCCAGAGAGGGUCCUUCCGAAGGCCGGAGCAGCCCAUGGUUCCGGAGCCCUGAGGCUAAAUUCCACGCGAGGGCCCUUGUGCUUUAUUUUCCUCUAGGUUGACCCAUCCUGGGAGAGACUUGGGACAAAGCACCAUUGUUUAGCUUGUGGAUGCAAGAAACAGAAAAAAAAAAGCGUAGUUAAGAAGGGAACAGGACAUUCUAAGCUUGGGCUUCUCAACUAUCUGUAACAAAGGUUUAUUUUGUUUAAUUUCUUGGUCUAGACUAAUGCUGACUCUCACUUCCUGUCAUUGGAACCAUAACACAUUGUUCACGGACCUGCCCUAGUUCAAAGUCCAUGCUUUGGUCAAUUUCUCCUACUAAUAAUGAUGCUAACGUAGGCACUUUAUGCAUGCCCAGGUUAGGGUGGUCAGCCGGCUUCACCUUUGGAGCCCCAGGAGCCCGGGUCAGAGGCUUCUCAACUCUCUUCCCUGCAGGAUUGAGUGUGUACCUUCCAGUGGGUUUCCCCGGAAACAGGCCCCCAGACAAGGAUGCGAGUGCUAGAUUAUGGGGACAUGAUCCCAGAAAGUAUUGUUAAGAGAUUGGGAAAGUGACAGAGCUCCUGCUGUGGCGAAACAGGCUCGGUGGCAUCUCGGGAGCACUGGGACGCAGGUUUAAUCCCCAGCCCAGCACAGUGGGUGAAGGAUAUGGCAUUGCCUCAGCUACAGCUUAGGUUGCAGUUGUGGCUUGGAUCCAAUACCUGGCCUAGAAACUGCACGUGCGUGGGUCAACCAAAAAAAAAA
ensembl:lncRNA